rnacentral:rRNA from 1 species
GCCAUGCAUGUCUAAGUAUAAGCAAUCAUACUGUGAAACUGCGAAUGGCUCAUUAAAUCAGUUAUCGUUUAUUUGAUAGUACCUUUACCUGGAUAACCGUGGUAAUUCUAGAGCUAAUACAUGCUAAAAACCCCGACUUCGGGAGGGGUGUAUUUAUUAGAUAAAAAACCAAUGCCCUCUGGGCUCCUUGGUGAUUCAUAAUAACUUAACGAAUCGCAUGGCCUUGCGCCGGCGAUGGUUCAUUCAAAUUUCUGCCCUAUCAACUUUCGAUUGUAAGAUAGAGGCUUACAAUGGUCUUAACGGGUAACGGGGAAUUAGGGUUCUAUUCCGGAGAGGGAGCCUGAGAAACGGCUACCACAUCCAAGGAAGGCAGCAGGCGCGCAAAUUACCCAAUGCUAAUUCAGCGAGGUAGUGACAAUAAAUACUGAUACGGGGCUCUUUCGGGUCUCGUAAUUGGAAUGAGUACAAUCUAAAUCCCUUAACGAGGAACAAUUGGAGGGCAAGUCUGGUGCCAGCAGCCGCGGUAAUUCCAGCUCCAAUAGCGUAUAUUAAAGUUGUUGCCGUUAAAAAGCUCGUAGUUGAACCUUGGACCUGGCUGAUCUGUCCUCCUAAUCGAGCGCACGGAUUCGGUCGGGUCUUUCCUUCUGGGGAGCCCUAUGCCCUUCACUGGGUGUAGUGGGGAACCAGGACUUUUACC